AGUGUCAGGACCUGUUCGAAUCAUGUUGUUAAAUAUCGCGACAUUUAGACUCGCACAUUUUGAAAAAAUUAGUGUUUAAAAUAUAACAAAAGAGUCCCACACUUUAAAAAAAUUAGUGUUUAAAGCAGGUUUUCAAGCCUGUAUAAUGGUACAGCACCACGUAAUGAUUAAGAGGAACAGGCGGGGGCAUUCAUACUGUGCCGUUAUAGAUGAAAUUCUUGGAUCGGUGCAAGACGAACGACUGCGAAAGCAUUUGCCAAGAAUGUUUUCUAUUAUCAA
rnacentral:ncRNA from 1 species